rfam:Hordeum vulgare subsp. vulgare, WGS project CAJW01000000 data, contig: morex_contig_129112
CACAUACUCCCUCCGUCCAGAAAUACUUGUCAUAUGAAUGGAUGUAUCUAGAUGUAUUUUUGUUCUAGAUACAUCCAUUUUAAUCUAUUUGCAUGACAAGUAAUUCCGGACAGAGGGAGUAUUAG